rnacentral:rRNA from 1 species
ACAAGCGGUGGAGCAUGUGGUUUAAUUCGAUGAUACGCGAAGAACCUUACCGGGGUUUGACAUGCAGGUGAUCGCCGUUGAAAGACGGUUUCCUCUUCGGAGGCACCUGCACAGGUGCUGCAUGGUUGUCGUCAGCUCGUGUCGUGAGAUGUUCGGUUAAGUCCGCUAACGAGCGCAACCCUCGCUGUGUGUUACAAGUGUCACACAGGACCGCCGGUCUUAAGCCGGAGGAAGGUGGGGAUGACGUCAAGUCAGCAUGGCCUUUAUGUCCAGGGCUACACACACGCUACAAUGGUCAGCACAAUAGGUAGCCAAGCCGCGAGGUGGAGCCAAUCCUCAAAGCUGGCCUCAGUUCAGAUCGCAGGCUGCAACCCGCCUGCGUGAAGCCGGAGUUGCUAGUAACCGCAGGUCAGCAAUACUGCGGUGAAUACGUUCCCGGGUCUU